GGGGCCGUAGCGCAGAAGUCGUCGCGCACCACUGCUAAUGGUGAAGACGCCGGUGCGAAUCCGGCCGGUCCCG
rnacentral:tRNA from 1 species